CACUGCUCAUCAUGCGCGCAUGGGAACGGGGCACAUGCUAGCUACUGAUGCAGGGCAAAGCGGGAGCGUAUAAUAAGACGGGAAGGAUGGAUGGGCCAGAUCUGCUCUCCUCCUCGAGACCUCCGUUUUGUUCCCGGGGCAGGCAAGGACGGCAGAAACGGCAUUGCCCCUCUGAUGCCAUGCCAUUCUUGUAGCAGCUCUCGGAUGGCUCGCUAGUCGCUACUAGCUUACGACAAUGAUGGCUGCUGCGCUGGGCCGCGGCACGGCGGCGGGCACCAAAGGCGGCGGCAAGCAGGUGGGGGGCAGGGUGCUGUUCGUCGCCGUCGGCUGCUUCCUCUUCUUCCUCGUCCUCCUCCUCUCCGCCCGGCCCGACGCCACCGUCGUCCUCGGCGGCCGUAACCGUUCGGGCGCUGUCGUCCGGCCGCGGCCGCGGGUGGGGAGCCACGGCGACCCGCAGCGGAGCGCCGAGCGGAGCAGCGCCAUGGCAGCCACAGAACGGGUUAACGACGCGGUGAUCGGCGGAGGGGAGAGGAACGGCGACGUCGAGAGAGACGCGGCGCCGGAGGAGGCAGAACGUGAGAGCAACGUCGCCGCCGCCGCCGCUACUCCCAGCUCCGACGAGCGAGCAGAACCACCGGCCGCCGCCGAGGACGCGGACCGAGACAAAUCCUUGCGGGCCGCCGUGCAGACGACGCCUCCUCCUCCGCACGGACUUCCAGCGGACGACACCACGACGCGUGCGGAUGCAGCGGGCCGGCAGCAGCGGCGGCCGCCGCUGUGCGACACCUCCGGCUUCCGCGCCGACGUCUGCGAGCUCGCCGGCGACGUCCGCUUGGACGCCAACGCGUCGGCGUUCGUCGUCGUCGACGGCGACGGCGACGGCGACGCGGACGGGGCCGAGUACAAGGUCCGGCCGUACCCGCGGAAGGGCGACGCCACGAGCAUGGGCCGCGUCACCGAGAUCGCCGUGCGGGCGGCCGUCGGCGCGGGGGUGCAGCCCCCGCGGUGUACGGCGACGCACGCCGAGCCGGCGGUCGCGUUCUCCAUCGGCGGCUACACGGGCAACCUCUUCCACGACUUCACCGACGUGAUCGUCCCGCUGUACGGCGCCGCGCAGCGCUACCGCGGCGACGCGCGCCUCGUCGUGGCCGACGCGGCCCCGCGGUGGCUCGCUAAGUAGGGCGCGCUCCUGCGCGCGCUGUCGCGCCACGCGCCGCUCGACCUCGCCAAGGCCGCCGCCGCCGGGGAGGUGCACUGCUUCCGCCGCGCCGUGCUCGGCCUCCGCGCUCGCCGGGAGCUCAUGACCGAGCCGGAGCGCGGCCUGGACGGGGGCGUCGGGAUGCCGGACUUCACGAUGUUCCUCCGGCGCGCGCUCUGGCUGCCCCGCCACGCGCCGACGCGGCCCGGCCGCCGGAAGCCCCGCCUGCUCGUCGUGUCCCGCCGCGGCACCCGGCUGCUCCUGAACGCAAACGCCGUGGCCCGCGCGGCGGAGGAGGCCGGCUUCGAGGCCGUCGUGAGCGAGCUGAGCUCGGCCGGCGACGACAUCUCCCAAGCAGGGCGGCUGGUGAACUCGUUCGACGCGCUGGUGGGCGUGCACGGCGCGGACCUCACCAACAUGGUGUUCCUGCCGCCGGGCGCGGCGAUGGUGCAGAUCGUGCCGUGGGGCGGGCUGCGGUGGAUCGCGCGGCUGGACUUCGGCGAGCCGGCGGCGGCGAUGGGGCUCCGGUACAUCCAGUACGAGGUCGCCGUCCACGAGAGCACGCUCAAGGACAGGUACCCGAGGGACCACGAGGUCUUCACCAACCCGACGGCGCUGCACAGGAAGGGGUUCACGUUCAUGAGGCGCACGUUCCUGAACGGCCAGGACAUCAUCGUCGACGUCGACCGCUUCAGGCCGGUGCUGCUCCAGGCGCUCGAGAACCUCGCGCAGUAGGUAUAGCUGUUUUUGUGUGCCGUGCACGCAUGUGUAGUUUAUGGACAAGGAUAUGUGUCCAUACAUUUGCAGAUGGGUGUCUGUGUUGUCACACAAGGCACAAAAGGUGACUGUAAGAAUGGUAACAGAAGGGCUGAAUUGUCAUGGCUACAGGCUACAUGCAUAGUACUUGAUAGGGAUGGCAAUGCACAAAUUAUACCGUGGGUCUGGGUUUGAUAAGCCGACGUGUACGAUGUCAAUUGUCACGAGUUUUAGAAAAAAAAAAUCACGUGUAACUGCUUCCCCGCA